rnacentral:rRNA from 1 species
UUAAAUUGAAGAGUUUGAUCAUGGCUCAGAUUGAACGCUGGCGGCAGGCCUAACACAUGCAAGUCGAACGGUAACAGGAAGAAGCUUGCUUCUUUGCUGACGAGUGGCGGACGGGUGAGUAAUGUCUGGGAAACUGCCUGAUGGAGGGGGAUAACUACUGGAAACGGUAGCUAAUACCGCAUAACGUCGCAAGACCAAAGAGGGGGACCUUCGGGCCUCUUGCCAUCGGAUGUGCCCAGAUGGGAUUAGCUAGUAGGUGGGGUAACGGCUCACCUAGGCGACGAUCCCUAGCUGGUCUGAGAGGAUGACCAGCCACACUGGAACUGAGACACGGUCCAGACU